rnacentral:tRNA from 1 species
GGAGAGGUGGCUGAGAGGUCUAAAGCGGUGGAUUGCUAAUCCGCUGUACACAAGAGGUGUACCGAGGGUUCGAAUCCCUCCCUCUCCC